rnacentral:lncRNA from 1 species
AUUCCUCCAUUUGAGUAAAACUUUACCCGUUGAACACAUCGGAAUAUAAUUCGGAUACAUGGACAACUUGCACAUAAGUGCCAUAUAUUCAAUCAAGCAAUCAUGUAACCCGCCCAUAAGCGAACUCGGACUCAACUCAACGAGCUCGGGCGUUCGCAUCCAUAAGUGAACUCGGACUCAACUCAACGAGUUCGGAUGCCUAGUUACAUUUCACGAACUCGGACUCAACUCAACGAGUUCGGACAUUCGCAUCCAUAAGUGAACUCGGAC